rnacentral:rRNA from 1 species
GACGAACGCUGGCGGCGUGCCUAACACAUGCAAGUCAACUUGACUGAGGGAGCAAUCUGACAGUAGAGUGGCGCAAGGGUGCGUAACGCGUAAGUAACUUGCCCAAGGUAAGGAAUAACGUCGAGAAAUCGGCGCUAAUACCUCAUAAUGCAGCGGAUCCGCAUGGAUAUGUUGUUAAAGGUUUACCGCCUUGGGAUAGGCUUGCGUCUGAUUAGUUAGUUGGUGUGGUAACGGCACACCAAGGCUACGAUCAGUAACUGGUCUGAGAGGAUGAUCAGUCACACUGGAACUGAGACACGGUCCAGACUCCUACGGGAGGCAGCAGUGAGGAAUAUUGGGCAAUGCUCGAAAGAGUGACCCAGCAACGCCGCGUGGAGGAUGAAGGUAUUCUAUAUCGUAAACUCCUGUGAGAGCAGACGAAAGACAGAUUAUUAAUCUGGAUGACUGUAUGCUCAGAGGAAG